CUAUGAUAGCCUUUAUAUAAAAUAUUGGUUCCCACCUAAGAUUUUUACAUCAAAUAUUAUUUCUUCUAUACUCAGGGGGACGCAUGUCUACCUUUAUUUUAUUCUGGCGUUGCUAUCCAUUUCAUUUCAGUUCCAAUAAAUUUCCACAGAGUAACGGCAAAUAUGAUAUCAUCUGGUAGAUGGGAUCCAUUGCCUCAAACUAAGUAAGAUCCAAGUCACAUUCAAGUCCUUCAUACUGUGGCAGCUGCUGUGGGAUGCAAAGGAUAAAUGUUGCAUAUCCUCCUGGAAUCUUAGUUUCAUCAGUAUAAGUCACGUCAUGAUGGAACUCAUUUUCCCCACUGGUGAAGAGUCCGAGAGGACUGAAUGACUGAAUUGAACUGAUCAGAGAACACAUGGCUACAUCCAAUCAUCAAGACUUGGGAAACGACUAACUUUGUGACAUUAUCCAAGUAAUCUUUCUGGAUUUUAAGUGACCCACAUCCUUGAUAAAGUGUAACUGGAUUGUUUUCA
rnacentral:lncRNA from 1 species